GCCAUAGCUCAGUGACAGAGCAUCUGCUUUGCAUGCAGAAAGUCCCUGGUUCAAUACCCAGUAUCUCUA